rnacentral:rRNA from 1 species
AUACGGAAGGUCCGGGCGUUAUCCGGAUUUAUUGGGUUUAAAGGGAGCGUAGGCCGGAGAUUAAGCGUGUUGUGAAAUGUAGACGCUCAACGUCUGCACUGCAGCGCGAACUGGUUUCCUUGAGUACGCACAAAGUGGGCGGAAUUCGUGGUGUAGCGGUGAAAUGCUUAGAUAUCACGAAGAACUCCGAUUGCGAAGGCAGCUCACUGGAGCGCAACUGACGCUGAAGCUCGAAAGUGCGGGUAUC